AUUGAACGCUGGCGGCAUGCUUUACACAUGCAAGUCGAACGGCAGCGCGGGCUUCGGCCUGGCGGCGAGUGGCGAACGGGUGAGUAAUGCAUCGGAACGUGCCCAGUAGUGGGGGAUAGCCCGGCGAAAGCCGGAUUAAUACCGCAUACGACCUGAGGGUGAAAGCGGGGGACCGAAAGGCCUCGCGCUAUUGGAGCGGCCGAUGUCGGAUUAGCUAGUAGGUGGGGUAAAGGCUUACCAAGGCGACGAUCCGUAGCUGGUCUGAGAGGACGACCAGCCACACUGGGACUGAGACACGGCCCAGACUCCUACGGGAGGCAGCAGUGGGGAAUUUUGGACAAUGGGGGCAACCCUGAUCCAGCCAUGCCGCGUGCGGGAAGAAGGCCUUCGGGUUGUAAACCGCUUUUGUUCGGGAAGAAAUCCUCUGGGCUAAUACCCCGGGGGGAUGACGGUACCGGAAGAAUAAGCACCGGCUAACUACGUG
rnacentral:rRNA from 1 species